GCGAACGGGUGAGUAACACGUGAGUAAUCUGCCCUUAAGACAGACAUAGCAUCGUGAAAACGGUGGUAAUUUCUGAUGUUGUCUCAAUGGUGCAUACUGUUGAGGUCAAAGACAGGGACCGCAAGGCCUGUCGCUUAAGGAUGAGCUCGCGUCCUAUCAGCUUGUUGGUGAGGUAACGGCCCACCAAGGCUUUUGACGGGUAGCUGGUCUGAGAGGAUGGUCAGCCACACUGGGACUGAGACACUGCCCAGACUCCUACGGGAGGCUGCAGUCGAGAAUCUUUAGCAAUGGGCGAAAGCCUGACUAUGCGACACCGCGUGAGGGACGAAGGUCUUCGGAUCGUAAACCUCUUUUAGCAGGGAAGAAACUCCUUAACUAAAUAUGUUAAGGACUGACGGUACCUGUAGAAUAAGCAACGGCUAACUCCGUGCCAGCAGCCGCGGUAAUACGGGGGUUGCAAGCGUUACUCGGAUUCAUUGGGUGUAAAGGGCAGGUAGGUGGCCUGACAAGUGAGGGGUGAAAUCCCGCUACUCAAUAGCGGAACUGCCUUUCAUACUAUCGGGCUUGAGGUUGGGAGAAGAGAAUGGAAUUCCCGGUGUAAGGGUGAAAUCUGUAGAUAUCGGAAGAACACCAGUGGCGAAAGCGAUUCUCUAGUCCAAUCCUGACACUGAGCUGCGAAAGCUAGGGGAGCAAACAGGAUUAGAUACCCUGGUAGUCCUAGCUGUAAACGAUGAGCACUAGGUGUCGGGCCUUCGGGCUCGGCGCCCGCAGUUAACACAUUAAGUGCUCCACCUGGGGACUACGACCGCAGGUUAA
rnacentral:rRNA from 1 species